rnacentral:rRNA from 1 species
AUACGGAGGAUCCGAGCGUUAUCCGGAUUUAUUGGGUUUAAAGGGUGCGCAGGCGGGGGAUUAAGUCGGCGGUGAAAUUUUGCAGCUCAACUGUAAAAGUGCCUUCGAAACUGGUUUCCUUGAGUGGAGAUGAAGUAGGCGGAAUUUGUGGUGUAGCGGUGAAAUGCAUAGAUAUCACGAGGAACUCCGAUUGCGCAGGCAGCUUACUAAACUACUACUGACGCUCAGGCACGAAGGCGUGGGGAUCAAACAGGAUUAGAUACCCUGGUAGUCCACGCAGUAAACGAUGAUUACUAGCUGUUUGCGAUACAAUGUAAGCGGCUGAGCGAAAGCGUUAAGUAAUCCACCUGGGGAGUACGUUCGCAAGAAUGAAACUCAAAGGAAUUGGCGGGG